AUUCCAGCUCCAAUAGCGUAUAUUUUAGUUGUUGCAGUUAAAAAGCUCGUAGUUGAAUUUCUGGUGGGAAGAUGCGGACGGCCUCAUGGCUUGUUCCAAGUCUUCCGGCCAUCCUUGGGUGGAGCUCGUCUGGCAUUAAGUUGUCGGGCGGGGGAUGCCCAUCGUUUACUGUGAAAAAAUUAAAGUGUUCAAAGCAGACUUAUGUCGUUGAACAUAUUAGCAUGGAAUAAUAAGAUAGGACAGCAGUGCUAUUUUGUUGGUUUGCGCACCGUUGUAAUGAUGAAUAGGGACAGUUGUGGGUAUUUAUAUUCACUUGUAAGAGGUGAAAUUCUUAGAUUAAGGGAAGAUAAACUACUGCGAAAGCAUUUACCAAGGAUGUUUUCAUUG
rnacentral:rRNA from 1 species